GCCUUGUGCUUUGCAGCAUCUAACGUCUUGGUAGUGACCUGCCAGUGCCUGUCCAACCUGUCAGCAGAUCACGGUCGCGAACCCUGGGAGAGAGGGUCAUCAGAGCCUGAACAAGUCCUCCCGCAAUGACCUACCAGGUGGUGCCAGGCCUGUAGCAGGUACCCUGGAUCGGAUCGGCUGCUCUGCUCCACGAGGCUCCCAGCACCAUCUCAGCAGGUAGCUGAUGUGGAGUCUCUGUCACCUCCAGGGCAGCCAGUGCCCCUCACUGGAAGCCUCUCGAUGUCAGAGAAUUCCCCGCUGUGUGUUCCUGGCAUUGUUGUGGGGACGCACCUCCUCUGUGCUUCUGGAUGGCAGGGAGGUCCCACGUGCUCCAUAAAUUCCCUGGACGAGGCUCGAGUGGAUCAUAGCGUCGGGUUUGGAGUCCACCUUGUCUUCCGUAGUCACUCACACUUACGCAGUGGCACAGGCUUCUGGCAGGCUAUGUGUGUGGAUCCUGUAUUUCUGAGAAUUUAUUCCUUCUGAGAGGCUGGAGAUGAAGGCCCCAAGGUCUGGGAAGAAGGAAAUCCCUGGGAGAGAAAUCCAUGCACUUAACUGGUGCUUGUGGAAACUCUGACUUCCAAAUGCCACUGCUCCU
rnacentral:lncRNA from 1 species